AUUGAACGCUGGCGGCAGGCCUAACACAUGCAAGUCGAACGAGUGGCGGACGGGUGAGUAAUGUCUGGGAAACUGCCUGCUGGAGGGGGAUAACUACUGGAAACGGUAGCUAAUACCGCAUACCCUCGGAUGUGCCCAGAUGGGAUUAGCUAUUUGGUGGGGUAACGGCUCACCAAGGCGACGAUCCCUAGCUGGUCUGAGAGGAUGACAAGCCACACUGGAACUGAGACACGGUCCAGACUCCUACGGGAGGCAGCAGUGGGGAAUAUUGCACAAUGGGCGAAAGCCUGAUGCAGCCAUGCCGCGUGUAUGAAGAAGGCCUUCGGGUUGUAAAGUACUUUUAGCGGUGAGGCGGGAACGGAAGAAGAAGCACCGGCUAACUCCGUGCCAGCAGCCGCGGUAAUAG
rnacentral:rRNA from 1 species